rnacentral:rRNA from 1 species
AUUGAACGCUGGCGGCAGGCCUAACACAUGCAAGUCGAACGAGUGGCGGACGGGUGAGUAAUGUCUGGGAAACUGCCUGAUGGAGGGGGAUAACUACUGGAAACGGUAGCUAAUACCGCAUACCAUCAGCUGUGCCCAGAUGGGCGUAGCUAGUUGGUGGGGUAAUGGCUCACCAGGGCGACGAUCCCUAGCUGGUCUGAGAGGAUGACCAGCCACACGGGAACUGAGACACGGUCCUGGCGCCUACGUGAGGCAGCAGUGGCGAAUAUUGCGCAAGGGGCGCAAGCCUGAUGCAGCCAUGGCGCGUGUAUUAAGAAGGCGUUCGGGUUGUAAAGUACUUUCAGCGGGGAUGCGUUACCCGCAGAAGAAGCACCGGCUAACUCCGUGCCAGCAGCCGCGGUAAUUC